AUGGACGGAACAAUAUCGCGUUCGUUUGCGUUCGUUGAUCUCCUUUAAUAAAAACACUAAAUAAACAUUGUUUAAUUAACGAAAUUAUAAGAAAGUUAAUAUAAUAUGAAAAUGUAACCAAUAACUUAAUACCUCAAGUAAAAACAAUGAAUUUAUUAUUAUGUUGAGAAGUUCUAAAAGGAUUAAAGGCUUCUAACCUCUCUUUUUGAUACGCGUAUUUAUAUAGAAUUUUUGUGUAUUCUGUGAGAAAGUUUAUAAAAAAAAAACAGCAAAAUGGAUUCGGACGAAGAUGAUAAGGACUUUGAUUCCGCAAUUAACAUGACUGGUUUCAUGUUCGGCAACAUUGAUAAGAAUGGUGAAUUGGAAGAUGAUAUUCUUGAUUCUGAAGCAAAACAACAUCUCGCUUCGCUCAGUCAGUUUGGUUUAAGUUCUCUUUUACAAGAAAUGAUGAAAAGUGAGACUGAAAAUGAAAAGGCCAAUGAAGAGGAAAAUAAUAGUAAUGGAAAGGAGAAAGAGAAUGAAAAAAAUGAUAAAGAUCAAAAUGAUAAGGAUGACGAUUACCUUGAAAAGUCACCGAGUGCCCUUGAUUUUUCAGAUAUUAAUGAAUUAGCCGAAGAUAAUUGUGAAGAAAAUACAAGUGAGAUGUACACGGUUAAGAAAACAGAAAAGGAAGGAACAGAUUACGAUGCAGAUGAUGAGGAGGUUGUAAAUAAAUCAGACACUCAGUUAAUGCCUCCACCGCCAUUGCCUGAAGAAAAAGAACCCUUAACUCCUGAAGAAGCAGAAGCUGCCAGGCAAAGAAAACUAGAAACGCCUCUAGCAUCAAUGCUACCUUCGAAAUACGAAAAUAUAAACGUAACACAAUUGUUUCCGGAUUUUCGAGCAAAUAAAGUUUUGAGAUUUUCAAGACUAUUUGGUCCUGGGAAACCAAGCAGCCGUCCACAAAUUUGGAGAGGAGUGAAAAAACGUCGAAAAAAGAAACGCCAUAAUGAAGUUAAAGAUUCUGAUUCCGGUUCUGAUCAGGAGACGAGGAAAGUUAAGUUUAAGGGUUGGCUAAUGCAAUAUGGACAAGAACCAAAUCCAGAAGAAUGUCGGUCUGAUGACGAGGAAAAAUUGUUGAAGCCACUUGAAGAUACAGAGCAAACGGGAAAAACUGGUGAUUUUGGAGAAAAUGGAGACAUGGGACCAAAAGUUGCAGAUUGGCGUUUUGGACCAGCUCAAAUCUGGUAUGACAUUCUGGGAGUUCCCGAAACUGGGGAUGGUUUCAAUUAUGGAUUUAAAGUCGUGGAAGAGAAGCAAGAACCCCAAGAAAAUGAAAAUGCGGAAGGAGAAUUUGCGGAUGAUGCCUUUUUGAUGGUUUCGCAAUUACGCUGGGAAGAUGACGUCGUAUGGAACGGCGAUGAAAUAAAGCACAAGGUGAUGCACAAACUAAACAGCAAAAGCAACGCAGCUGGUUGGGUUCCUUCCAGUGGAAACAGAACUGCUCAAGCCUUCAGCCAACCUGGAAAAGGAGCUCCAGUUCCUGUAGCUCCUAAUGUCAGACUUGCUACACAAAAUAUAGUUCCAACCCAAAAAAAUAAACUACCGAUUGCUAAGGGAGGUCAACAAAUGAGCCGGGAGGACACCGACGACACCUGGUGGUCUAUUUUCCCAGUAGAAAACGAGGAACUAGUUUACGGUCUCUGGGAAGACGAAAUCAUCUGGGAUGCAGAAAACAUGAAGAAAAUACCGAAACCGAAGAUCCUCACCCUGGAUCCAAACGACGAGAACAUCGUCCUCGGAAUUCCCGAUGAUAUCGAUCCCGCCCUUCUUCAUAAAGAGAACGGACCUCAGCCUAAAGUGAAAAUCCCACAUCCUCACGUGAAGAAGAGUAAACUUCUUCUCGGAAAGGCUGGAGUGAUCAACGUUCUCGAGGAGGAUACCCCGCCUCCUCCGCCAAAGUCUCCAGACAGAGAUCCCUUCAAUAUUUCGAACGAUCCCUACUAUCUUCCUCGAUCUUCGGAAACGACUCUGAGGUUGAAGGUUGGCGGAGGAAACCUAAUUCAGCACAGCACUCCCGUUGUUGAACUACGAGCUCCGUUUGUGCAAACUUACAUGGGACCAAUGCGUCUCAGGAACUUCCACAGACCACCAUUGAGACGUUUUAGCCACGGUCCUCUUGCCCAACUGGCUGUACAUCCUGUUCUUCCUCUGCUGAAGCACAUCAAGAAAAAAGCCAAGCAACGAGAACAGGAGAGAAUAGCUUCUGGUGGUGGUGAUGUCUUCUUUAUGAGAACUGCUGAGGAUCUAACUGGUCGCGAUGGGGAAAUAGUUCUUGUUGAAUUUUCUGAAGAACACCCGCCUCUCAUGAAUCAAGUGGGAAUGUGUUCGAAAAUGAAGAACUACUACAAACGGAAAGCUGGAAAGGAUCAAGGACCUCAGAAGUACAAAUAUGGCGAGACAGCUUAUGCUCACACAAGUCCCUUCCUAGGAAUUCUAACGCCCGGGCAGAGUAUCCAGACCGUCGAAAAUAAUAUGUACAGAGCCCCGAUUUAUGAACACAACAUUCCAACUACGGAUUUCCUGGUUAUCAGGACGAGGCAUCAGUAUCAUGUUCGAGAAAUUGAUGCACUUUUCGUGGCUGGGCAAGAGUGUCCGCUUUAUGAAGUUCCUGGACCGAAUUCGAAGAGAGCUAACAACUUCGUAAGGGAUUUUCUCCAGGUUUUCAUUUACAGACUUUUCUGGAAAUCGAGGGACACACCAAGAAGAAUCAAAAUGGACGACAUUAAAAAGGCUUUUCCUUCACAUAGUGAAAGUAGUAUAAGAAAAAGAUUGAAGCUCUGUGCUGAUUUCAAGCGAACCGGAAUGGAUUCCAAUUGGUGGGUCAUCAAACCUGAAUUCCGAUUGCCUACCGAGGAAGAAAUCAGAGCCAUGGUCUCUCCGGAACAGUGCUGUGCUUACUUUAGCAUGAUUGCAGCAGAACAGAGAUUGAAAGACGCUGGUUACGGCGAAAAGUUCCUCUUCACGCCGCAAGACGACGACGAUGAAGAAAUGCAGCUGAAGAUGGACGACGAAGUCAAGGUCGCACCUUGGAAUACAACUCGAGCUUAUAUCCAGGCUAUGAAAGGCAAAUGUUUGUUGCAACUUGCUGGUCCCGCUGAUCCGACUGGAUGCGGCGAAGGAUUCUCUUACGUCAGGGUACCCAAUAAACCAACAAUCAGCAAGGAAGAACAGGAGGCACAGCCCAAGAGAACUGUCACUGGAACUGAUGCCGACUUGAGAAGAUUGUCCCUCAAUAAUGCCAAAGCCCUUCUGAGAAAGUUUGGUGUUCCUGAAGAGGAAAUUAAGAAGCUUUCACGUUGGGAAGUCAUCGACGUCGUGAGAACUCUUUCGACAGAAAAGGCGAAGGCUGGGGAAGAAGGCAUGACAAAAUUCUCUAGGGGGAACAGAUUUUCGAUAGCCGAACACCAGGAAAGAUACAAAGAAGAAUGUCAAAGAAUCUUCGACCUGCAGAAUCGAGUCUUGUCCUCGAAUGAAGUUCUCAGUACCGAUGAGGGUGAGAGCUCCGAGGAAGAUAGUUCAGACAUUGAAGAAAUGGGAAAGAAUAUUGAGAAUAUGCUCUCAAAUAAGAAGACAAGUACUCAAUUGUCCCUCGAGAAAGAAGAACAGCAGAGGCACGAAUUGAGGAAAAUGUUGAUGGGUGAGAAUCAGGAACAGGACAAGAAGAAUAGAGAGAAAAAGAAAGAAGAUGAGGAAGAGUCCCCGAUGAGUAGUCUGAACGCCCAGCCAGGAAGAGUUCUCAAGAUUUAUCGAACUUUUAGGAACCCUGAAGGACACGAGUUUACGAGAGUUGAGCUAGUUAGAAAGCAGGCUGUGAUUGAUACAUACUUGAAGAUAAGAAAUUCGAAGGACGAGUCGUUUAUAAAGCAGUUCGCGACUAUGGAUGAAGCGCAGAAGGAAGAAAUGAAGAGGGAGAAAAGAAGAAUUCAGGAGCAGUUGAGAAGAAUUAAAAGGAAUCAGGAACGGGAGCGAAUGCUGGGUGGAAAUUCGAGUACUCCUUUCAAUGCUUCGGGAUUUUUCGAUCGAAGCAAUUCCAGCACUCCUGUCACGACCUCUACCAGUAUCCUUCCAUUAUCUAAUUUUCCUUCUUCUUCUCUUACUCCUAAACCUAUCCGAUCUGAAAACUCUACUCCUAAACGUAAAAAACCUAAACUUAAACCAGAUCUUAAGCUGAAAUGUGGAGCUUGCGGUAAUGUAGGACAUAUGCGUACUAACAAAGCUUGCCCCCUUUAUCAAAACAGCAUAGCAAAUACGACGCCAGUCAAUGUUGCGAUGACGGAGGAGCAGGAGGCGGAAAUCGAGAAGCAGCUCGUUGCCGAUGAUCAGGAUCUUGUCAACGUCGAUGGUACCAAGGUUAAAUUGUCGUCGAAGCUUAUUAAGCAUGCCGAAGAAAUGAAGAAACGCACUUUGCUUCUGAAAGUGCCUAAGGAUGCGAUGCAUUCCAAGAAACGAAAAAGAAUAUCCGGUGACGAUCACUGUGAUUACCUGAAACGACACCAAAAACCAGCAAACAGACGAAGGACAGACCCUGUGGUUGUCCUGUCCACAACUCUCGAAAGUAUUCUCAACGAAAUGAGGGACUUGCCAGAUGUGCAACCCUUUUUGUUCCCUGUUAGUGCAAAGUCAGUGCCAGAUUACCACAAGAUAAUCGACAAACCCAUGGACCUGCAGACUAUAAGAGAUAACUUGAGGCAAAAGAAGUACCGAAACAGAGAAGAAUUUCUGGCUGCUGUUAAUCAAAUUGUAGAAAAUUCAACUCUCUACAAUGGGAAGAAUAGUUCUCUCACAGUUGCAGCGAAACGCAUGAUGGAUAUUUGCGUUGAUAGACUGCGUGAGAAAGAAGAUCGUCUGAUGAAACUUGAGAAGGUUAUCAAUCCUCUGCUUGAUGACAACGACCAAGUUGCUCUUUCUUACAUCCUGAGCGACGUGACCAAUAGACUUAAGUCGACCCAGGAUUUGUGGCCCUUCCACAAACCAGUGAGCAGGAAACUUGUAAGAGAUUAUUACACGGUGAUCAAGAGGCCAAUGGACUUGGAAACCAUCUCGAGGAAGAUUUCUGCUCAAAAAUACCACAAUCGUCACGAAUUUCUACGAGACAUUCAGCAAAUUGUAGAAAACUGUACAAUCUACAACGGGCUGGAUUCGCCGUACACGCAAAAGGCAGAGUCCAUGGUGAGAAUUUGCAGGGAAGCUUUCGAUGUUUAUGGCGAGAAUCUUACUAAUAUAGAAAACAGCAUCCUGAUGGUCCAGAAAAGAGCGAUGGAACAGGCAGAUAUGGAUACUUCCUGGAUGGGAACAGACGAAGAGAAUUACACAAUUGCUGAACCUCAAUUCCAUGGGAGCCAACCGAGUUCUCCAGAAAACAUGUUUGGAAAGUCAAGCUUGGACGAAUUUAAUUUUGUCGACGUCGAAGGAGAUAUUGAUCCAGACGGUGCUGGACCUUCACAGAAGAAAGACGUUCUUGAAGAAGACCUGCAGUGUUCAAGCGAAGAUGACUUCGAUGAAGUUCCAUUUGUAGGGGACGAACAAAUAGAUCAUUCCGGAAUGGAAAAUUUAGGACUGGAUGAGAAUCGUGAUAUCAAAGGGAACUUUAGUGGUGCAGACCGAACCGAAUCCCCAAUGAGUGAAUUGAGGGAUGUGGAAAUUCCAGCAGAUGAUGACAGCCAGCAGGCUGCAGAAGCAAUGGUGCAAUUGAGCAAUGUUGGAUUUUAUACUGGCGAACAACAGCCAGUCCUCCAACAUGAUGAAAGCAUGGAUGUCGAUCCUAACUACGACCCUUCAGAUUUCUUACUAGCAGGAUUGCCAAGUAGAGAAGAGAAGGAGCAAAUAAGAAUUCAGGAUGAUUUGGCGGUUUCUGAGUCUGAAGACGAAAUCGAAACUAAGGACGAGCCAAUUCUACAAAAACAGGAACCUCCACACGAAGAAGACCUUGGCGGAGAUCUGUGGUUCUAAUGUCGGUGACUUAUACCACUUGUACAUAAAACUGGUUAUACAAAUUAUUCUAAAAUAUUUGUAACCUUUUUCCGCUGAGAAGCUUAUUUUCAGAAUCAAGUUUCUCCCGCGCCCGAAAUCGUUUCCACAAUCCAUAUCGAACCUUCCGGUCCACGAAGAAGAGUUCAGGCUUCUCCUAUGUGACGUGAUGAGUUGCAAAGGUAUAUCGAGGCAUAAUAGGAGGAUUCGAGUAAGGAGCCCACUGAGCUCUUUCCAUCACGAUUUUAUUUAGGUACAAUAGGCUUCCAAUGUACUGUCUAACGUAAAAAAGUGUCACGAGAGUUGAAAACGGACGUGCGGGGGCGCUGGUAGUAACUUUGUUCUAGAAAACCAUGCGGUGUCAUAAGAAAAUUGCAUAAAAAUUACAAAAUAAACAUGAAAAACCCUAUAAAA